CUUAAUCAAUGGAAAAAUUCUCAACACCAAAAAAAUCAAAUACAUUACAAUACUAUUUAAUACAAUUAUGAGAUUGGAAUAUUUCCCACUACAAUGGAAAUUUGCUAAAAUUAUUUUGCUGCUUAAACCAGGUAAAAACAUAACAUAAUAAAGCAAGUCUACAAAUUAGUGCACUUAAUAACAGGAACAUACAAGAGAAAAGGAUGCUGCAACUGCAUUUCCCUAGAUAUCAAGAAAGUAUUUGACAAGAUAUCGUAUUACGAUUUAAGAGAAAACUUCAGGAGAAGAUUACCAAUUGCACAGCUAUAUAAAUAACAGAUUCUUUAAUAUAAAAAUAGGCAAUGAAACCUCAAGCAUAAAAGAAUACAAAGUAGGAAUACCAUAAGGGAGCAUACUAAGACCGAUACUAUUCUUUAUAUAUACGUCCCUCCAUAAAACUAAGGAACUCGGUGUUAGUAUAUGUAGAUGACAACGCAAUCUACAACAUUGGCAACAAUUCCAGUUCAGUACAAAAAUUAAUCUAUUAAUUAAUCUAUAAACUAAAUCUAUUACACACAUGGAUGAUAAAAAAGAAAAUAACGAUCAACCUACAAAAAAGCACAAAUAUAUGUUUUACACUAAAUCGCCAAAAACAAAAAUCGGUAUACAUGAACAAACAAUUAUAACCCAAACAAAAUAUCAAAGAUAAAAUAUCUAGAAAUCGUAUUAGAUAAAAAACUAACAUGGAACCCUUAUAUAAAAUAUAUGAUAAAAAAAAUAACAAUAGCUAUAAAACAGUUAUACUGGUUAGUUAAAAGGAACUUGAAGCUAAAAUUAAAAAACAUAACGAUAAUAUAUACAACAAUGAUCCAUUACGGGUAUAUGGAAUAAACCUCUGGAGUACAGCUACUAAAAGUAACUUAAAGAAAAUCAAAACAACUCAAUCAAAACUACUCAGAAUGAUUCUCUACACUCCACAAUAUGUGAGAAAUGACAGCAUAGAAGAAACAUUAGAAGUCACACCAGUAAAAGAAACAAUAAAAAUCAAUAACGAAAGACACUAGAAAAGGAUCAGCACCCAUGAAAAUCCAAUGAGGAAAGACUGUAUGCUACCAAUACCAAGAAGAUCACAUAGAAUAAAUACACCUAUUGGACAACUACUCAGUACUCCUAUUAGAGUAUUGGUGAAAGUGAGAAAUGAACAAAUAUUAAAAGUUGAAUGAAAGGAGUGAAUGAAUAAAAAAAUGAAUGUUAGAAGUCGAAUGAAGGGAGCAAAUAAAUGAAUGUUUGACCGAAACAAAAUACACAUUAUGUAAGAAGCCCACAUCUAGUAAGAUUAGUACAUGAAUAAAGGAGAUAAAAAAAAGUUUGGUGAAAAUGUUAAAAAAAAUCAUAACGAUGGUGGUACGAAGUAUGUAAACAAAGAUAUACAUACGUUCCUAGGCAAUCUCGGAAUUAAACAUUCACUAGACGCCGGAGUAGAAUGAGAUGCGAAAGUCUUACCAUUGUAGAAGCGACGUAUUUGAUGAUACACGCAAAGCUAGAACUUGCAGAAUUUUUAUGGACCGAAGCAAUGAAUAUUGCGAUAUAUUUUAUUAAUAGGACUGGGCCAACAUACUGGUAAGACACCUUAUAUCGUUCAAAAAUAAAAGUAAAAUCAAUCGUGUAAAGGUAUUUUUUGGUACUGAAUGUUUCAUGCACAUUCCAAAACAAAAAAGGCAGAAAUUAAACAAAAAAGCAUAUAAAGGCUAUUUAAUUCAAUAACUAGAUGUGCAAAAUUAUCGAAUCUAUGUUCCAGAGCUGAGAUGUCAUAUUAAGUCAUUAUGUUUCAUUCAAUCUCGAAAAAUUAUGUAGUUAAUAAAAGUGUAAAUAAUGAUUGAACAGUAGGUAAAAUUGUUUAUGUAAGAGAAGAAAAAUAGUCAAACAUAGAAAAAAAGGAGACAACUUCGUUGGAGCGAAAUUAAAAAGCUAGAAUAUUUCAAAUAUUAACGAGUGCCUUUGAGAUAAUUUUGUGUAGCCUU